UACGAAGGGUGCAAGCGUUCCUCGGAAUUCCUGGGCGUAAAGCGUGCGUAGGUGGUUCGUUAAGUCUGAUGUGAAAGCCCUGGGCUCAACCUGGGAAUGGCAUUGGAAACUGGCGACCUAGAGUGCGGUAGAGGGUAGUGGAAUUCCCGGUGUAGCAGUGAAAUGCGUAGAGAUCGGGAGGAACAUCUGUGGCGAAGGCGACUGCCUGGACCAGCACUGACACUGAGGCACGAAAGCGUGGGGAGCAAACAGG
rnacentral:rRNA from 1 species